AGCAGGCGCGCAAAUUACCCAAUCCUGACACAGGGAGGUAGUGACAAGAAAUAACAAUACGGGGCUUUAAGUCUUGUAAUUGGAAUGAUGGGAAUUUAAACCUCUUCCAGAGUAUCAAUUGGAGGGCAAGUCUGGUGCCAGCAGCCGCGGUAAUUCCAGCUCCAAUAGCGUAUAUUAAACUUGUUGCAGUUAAAAAGCUCGUAGUUGAAUUUCUGCUGUAUCGUUUUCCUCUGCUUGACAGUUGGAUUUCGUUAUGGCUUAGUUGGGUUACAGCUCUUGUUACCCAACGUUUACUUUGAGAAAAUUAGAGUGCUUCAAGCAGGCUUUUGCCUUGAAUACUUUAGCAUGGAAUAAUGGAGUAGGACUUUGGUUCUAUUUUGUUGGUUUUAGGAGCCAGAGUAAUGGUUAAUAGGAACAGUUGGGGGCAUUCGUAUUUGACUGUCAGAGGUGAAAUUCUUAGAUUUGUCAAAGACGAACUACUGCGAAAGCAUUUGCCAAGGAUGUUUUCAUUAAUCAAGAACGAAAGUUAGGGGAUCGAAGACGAUCAGAUACCGUCGUAGUCCUAACUAUAAACGAUGCCGACUAGAGAUUGGAGGUCGUCAGUUUGAACGAC
rnacentral:rRNA from 1 species